UGCUUGCACAUCGCUGACGAGUGGCGGACGGGUGAGUAAUGCCUGGGAGCUUGCCUUUGCGAGGGGGAUAACAGUUGGAAACGACUGCUAAUACCGCAUAAUGUCUACGGACCAAACGGGGCUUCGGCUCCGGCGCAAAGAGAGGCCCAAGUGAGAUUAGCUAGUUGGUAAGGUAACGGCUUACCAAGGCGACGAUCUCUAGCUGUUCUGAGAGGAAGAUCAGCCACACUGGGACUGAGACACGGCCCAGACUCCUACGGGAGGCAGCAGUGGGGAAUAUUGCACAAUGGGGGAAACCCUGAUGCAGCCAUGCCGCGUGUGUGAAGAAGGCCUUCGGGUUGUAAAGCACUUUCAGUUGUGAGGAAAAGUUAGUAGUUAAUACCUGCUAGCCGUGACGUUAACAACAGAAGAAGCACCGGCUAACUCCGUGCCAGCAGCCGCGGUAAUACGGAGGGUGCGAGCGUUAAUCGGAAUUACUGGGCGUAAAGCGCACGCAGGCGGUUUGUUAAGCUAGAUGUGAAAGCCCCGGGCUCAACCUGGGAUGGUCAUUUAGAACUGGCAGACUAGAGUCUUGGAGAGGGGAGUGGAAUUCCAGGUGUA
rnacentral:rRNA from 1 species